CCUACGGGAGGCAGCAGUGGGGAAUAUUGGACAAUGGGGGAAACCCUGAUCCAGCAAUGCCGCGUGAGUGAUGAAGGCCUUAGGGUCGUAAAGCUCUUUUACCAGGGAUGAUAAUGACAGUACCUGGAGAAUAAGCUCCGGCUAACUCCGUGCCAGCAGCCGCGGUAAUACGGAGGGAGCUAGCGUUGUUCGGAAUUACUGGGCGUAAAGCGUGCGUAGGCGGUUAUUCAAGUCAGAGGUGAAAGCCCGGGGCUCAACCCCGGAACGGCCUUUGAAACUAGAUAACUAGAAUCUUGGAGAGGUCAGUGGAAUUCCGAGUGUAGAGGUGAAAUUCGUAGAUAUUCGGAAGAACACCAGUGGCGAAGGCGACUGACUGGACAAGUAUUGACGCUGAGGUACGAAAGCGUGGGGAGCAAACAGGAUUAGAUACCCUGGUAGUCCACGCCGUAAACGAUGAUAACUAGCUGUCCGGACACUUGGUGUUUGGGUGGCGCAGCUAACGCAUUAAGUUAUCCGCCUGGGGAGUACGGUCGCAAGAUUAAAACUCAAAGAUAAGUAGACGUGAGAGNGCGACGACGACACCAGGAGGUAAG
rnacentral:rRNA from 1 species